rnacentral:tRNA from 1 species
ACUUAAGUAGUUUAAUAAAAAUAUUGGUUUGUGAGUCCAAAGAUGUGAAUUUUCACUUUGAGUA